UGCUAUACCGCACUACAACGCGCUUUGCCCUUUAUGGUCGAUGCUACUGCGUUGUCCCAAGAUGUGUUCGACAGUCUCCUCGUCGCCGCCACAGAGCUCGCAGUUUGGAUCUUCUCCAUAGAGCUCAAAUCUGCGUCUCUGGCCGCAAGUGGCAGCCGGAGGAACUACGGCUAGAAGAUUACGUGACUUCGCUCGGCUCUAAGCUGCAGCCUAACGCCCGCUAAUGUCAGCAGAGAGAGGGAGAGGAAGUGUCCUCCGAGACAGCACACGGGAACCCACACGGCACUCCGAAGGACGUCACUAGGAGGGGGACCCGGUGUGACCCUGAAGACUGGAAGUGCCACCCUGACCAGGCU